GUUGAGCGCUGAAGGUUGGUACUUGUACCGACUGGAUGAGCAGCGAACGGGUGAGUAACGCGUGGGGAAUCUGCCUUUGAGCGGGGGACAACAUUUGGAAACGAAUGCUAAUACCGCAUAAAAACUUUAAACACAAGUUUUAAGUUUGAAAGAUGCAAUUGCAUCACUCAAAGAUGAUCCCGCGUUGUAUUAGCUAGUUGGUGAGGUAAAGGCUCACCAAGGCGAUGAUACAUAGCCGACCUGAGAGGGUGAUCGGCCACAUUGGGACUGAGACACGGCCCAAACUCCUACGGGAGGCAGCAGUAGGGAAUCUUCGGCAAUGGACGAAAGUCUGACCGAGCAACGCCGCGUGAGUGAAGAAGGUUUUCGGAUCGUAAAACUCUGUUGGUAGAGAAGAACGUUGGUGAGAGUGGAAAGCUCAUCAAGUGACGGUAACUACCCAGAAAGGGACGGCUAACUACGUGCCAGCAGCCGCGGUAAUACGUAGGUCCCGAGCGUUGUCCGGAUUUAUUGGGCGUAAAGCGAGCGCAGGUGGUUUAUUAAGUCUGGUGUAAAAGGCAGUGGCUCAACCAUUGUAUGCAUUGGAAACUGGUAGACUUGAGUGCAGGAGAGGAGAGUGGAAUUCCAUGUGUAGCGGUGAAAUGCGUAGAUAUAUGGAGGAACACCGGUGGCGAAAGCGGCUCUCUGGCCUGUAACUGACACUGAGGCUCGAAAGCGUGGGGAGCAAACAGGAUUAGAUACCCUGGUAGUCCACGCCGUAAACGAUGAGUGCUAGAUGUAGGGAGCUAUAAGUUCUCUGUAUCGCAGCUAACGCAAUAAGCACUCCGCCUGGGGAGUACGACCGCAAGGUUGAAACUCAAAGGAAUUGACGGGGGCCCGCACAAGCGGUGGAGCAUGUGGUUUAAUUCAAAGCAACGCGAAGAACCUUACCAGGUCUUGACAUACUCGUGCUAUUCCUAG
rnacentral:rRNA from 1 species